AUUGAACGCUGGCGGCAGGCCUAACACAUGCAAGUCGAACGAGUGGCGGACGGGUGAGUAAUGUCUGGGAAACUGCCUGAUGGAGGGGGAUAACUACUGGAAACGGUAGCUAAUACCGCAUACCAUCAGAUGUGCCCAGAUGGGAUUAGCUUGUUGGUGGGGUAACGGCUCACCAAGGCGACGAUCCCUAGCUGGUCUGAGAGGAUGCCCAGCCACACUGGAACGGGGACACGGUCCCGACGCCUACGGGAGGCAGCAGUGGGGAAUAUUGCACAAUGGGUGCAAGCCUGAGGCCGCCAUGCCGCGUGUAUGGAGAAGGCCUUCGGGUUGGAAAGUACUUUCAGCGGGGAGGCGUUACCCGCAGAAGAAAGCCCGGCUAACUCCGGUGCAGCAGCCGCGGUAAUAC
rnacentral:rRNA from 1 species